CCUAAAACCGGCCUGAUGCUUGCCAUCAGCAUCCGCUUCGCUCUCUGGCUUGCGUGUGUUGUCAUCACCCAUGGGCUUCUGGGAAGAGCGUAGCGAGGCAGAGAGACGAAGUUGGGAAACAGAUUCAAACCAACGUUUGAACCGUUGCUCCGGUUUGUCAGUACUGUGAGAAAACUUACUUACCGAAGAAGCCUGCAUGCUAAAACAAGCCUUGGCGCCGCUUUUUUGACGAACACGAGUGAGGCUGGAUGCUGAACACACAUGCGACGCGAGGAGACCUGCACAAGAAUCGUCGGAGACCAGGGUUGCGAUCAGAGAGACACCAUCCACGAUUACAGAAUCUUUCGUACAGUGAAGAAGUUCUUUGAGACCAGGACAGAGGCCUCCAGUUGAAUUCACAGAAACAAAAGGAUCCACCAAAGGUGAAGGAGGAGAAGACGACAGCAGCUGAAGCCCUGAAGUGGAUGAAAGAAAACAAAAGUGUUGCGAAGCUGUUACUUCGAUAAAAGACCUCCACCAUUUAACUGCUGUAAACAGUAUUGGUUUUCUGUUGUUCAAGUGAAAACACUUUGUUUUCCUUUGCCAUCUGUAAUGUAGUCAUGGGCACAUUUACCAAAUUCUAAUAUGUCUUUAUUAAACACCUGUGAUAACAUUCAACUCCUUAUGAUACAACUAUUUAAUCACUCUAUCACAAGCAGUUAAAUGAUCACAAAGAUGCUUAGUAGACAUGUUCAUCUUUGGAAAAUGUGCUCAUAACUACUUUAACCCUAACUCUAACAAGUGUUUCCUUGUGGUCAAAUAUAUGUCAUUAUCUUUACUGUGAUUUGUUAAAUGUUAUCUGGAAUAAAAUUAAAGUCCCUAAACUUUUCAGUUGCAGACAAGAGGUUUUAAAGUGUCAAACUUCAGCUGAGAUAAUGACUAAAAAGAAUAAACUAAC